UACGUAGGUAGCGAGCGUUGUCCGGAUUUACUGGGCGUAAAGAGCGCGCAGGCGGCUGGUCAAGUCCGAUGUGAAAGCUCCCGGCUUAACUGGGAAAUUGCAUCGGAAACUGAUCGGCUGGAAGGUGGGAGAGGGUAGCGGAAUUCCCGGUGUAGUGGUGAAAUGCGUAGAUAUCGGGAGGAACACCAGUGGCGAAAGCGGCUACCUGGCCCAUUCUUGACGCUGAGGCGCGAAAGCUAGGGGAGCAAACGGG
rnacentral:rRNA from 1 species